AGGUACCACUCGUACACCUGCGCUGACGGCGCGUCGUCCCGACCCGCCUGACGACUGCGCGCGAUGUCGUGUUGGCC
rnacentral:sRNA from 16 species